rnacentral:tRNA from 1 species
UCCCUGGUGGCUCAGACGGUAAAGUGUCUGUCUACAAUACAGGAGACCCAGAUUCGAGCCCUGGGUUGGGAA